UACGUAGGGUGCGAGCGUUGUCCGGAAUUAUUGGGCGUAAAGAGCUCGUAGGCGGUUUGUCGCGUCGGCCGUGAAAACUUGGGGCUUAACUCCAAGCUUGCGGUCGAUACGGGCAGACUUGAGUUCGGCAGGGGAGACUGGAAUUCCUGGUGUAGCGGUGAAAUGCGCAGAUAUCAGGAGGAACACCCGUGGCGAAGGCGGCUCUCUGGGACGGUACUGACGCUGAGACGCGAAAGCGUGGGGAGCGAACAGG
rnacentral:rRNA from 1 species